rnacentral:lncRNA from 1 species
AAUGUUUUUGCUCAUUAAUUCAGCAUGUAACUCACAUUCCAAUGGAAGCAGAAGAGGUUGAGCCCACAAUCAAACUGUCACUGAAUUCUAAACCAAAACUGAAGUAUGGACUUCUUCUCAUUAGGGUCACGUUGCCAGGACUAUACAAUGAAAUGCCUGACCGUGAGAGUCCAGUAAUUUUCUUUGCUCUCAGGGUUCCUGUCUGGAAAAGAAAUCUGAGAACUUCAUGGUGAUGAGCAAGCCUGCAGCCCCCGAAGGUCACGGGUGCUGUUGGAGCCACGAGGAAGAGCCAUCAGCCCAGGGAGACCCUGAGGGUCAGAGCAUCUCCAUGGAUGAACUCCGUGUACAGCUGGACUCAUCCAACCCUUCGUGGACAUCACUUUGUAGUGAAAAUCCCUUUUGUUGUUGAAGAAAGCCUGAGUUGGGUGAUUUAUUACUCAUAAAGUAUGUUAAUACCUUGAUGCUAAUAUUCUCAUGAGAGAAUUAUACUCUAGUCUUAUGAUAGCACUAAAAGUAACUUAAAGGCCCCACGCUUCUCCAGAUAAAACCAACACUUGUGAAACCCUUGCUUUGCCAUUUACUAUCUAUGUUCCUGGACAAACUAUUAAAUGUGCCGAGUCUACACCUCCACCUCAGUUUAGGAUCAAUAAUCUAUAUCUUUUCUUUUUCAGUUUCAAUACAUAAAAAUAAGUGCCAUGAGUAGUUCUUGUAACUGAAUAGGCACUCAAAAGUGAAAUUAGGCUCUUCAUUUCUCCUGCUUUCUUAUCGUACAUCUUUAUGAUACUUUAAUUUGAGCUACAACCCCUGAGAUCUUCUUGAGAGUUAAUCACUGCUGAGAGACAAUACAGAGACAGGACAAUAGACAGAUCGCAUGUGACGACAGAGCUCUGACCCACAACCUCUGCAGCAAUUGCUCCCCGACAAUGGGGACUUAGUGAAUAACUGCUACCUGCCCUAUUUAUGCCCCCAACUCAGGAACAGCAGAUCAAUCCAAUAUGCUUCUCUAAUACCCACAUAGUUCUCAUCCUUUUAUUUUUAAUGUUUAUUUUGAUCUACAAUGAAAAUAACAGCUAACAAUCAUAGGUAUGCAUCCUUCAAUGCUUCCAACUUAUAAUCAUUCUUGUAUUAAGAAUUUUACUCUUUCAUUUUCCUGUGGUUGUUUUUUUCCCCUCAGGUUCUGCAAACACAUUUGUUUGCCUAAAAUUGCACCUCUGAGAAAUUCCAGCACACUGGCAUAGUGUUCUGGACUCUCGCUGUGGUAUUACUGCCAGCACUAUGCUUCCUUAUUAAAAAAUGUAGAGGCUCACUUGCAGCAAGCUUGAUAGCAGGAUGAUAAAAUGGCAGGGUAUUUUUAAACACAGAUUUUAUGAGAUGUAUUACAUGGAAUUAAAUUUAGACCAUAUAUCAAGGAAAUCACCAUAGAGCUUUGAGCGUGAUUCAGAUCAUCCUGGCAUUAGUUGGACCACUCUGUUGGCUCAACAAUGUCAUUGCCUGAGUGGGAAAUAAAUGGCCCAGUCUAUGGGGGCACUAUCGGGUUGGCUUGCUGGUCACAGCAUCCUCCCCCCACAAGAUGUCUCAUCUGGAAGGGUACGUAGGGCAGCAAUUGGUGGAAAUACACAGCAGAAGAAGGUUGUGACUCUUUCUCCAACACACCCCCUCCUCCUCAGUACACAACCUCUGCUCCCAAUGAUGGUACAAACAUCAGGGAUUUUUGUACCCUUGACAAAAACCCUUGACAGGACACACUCAAGAAACUGUUUUUUGUUGGUGUGUUUGUUUUUCUUUUUUCUUUUUUAGUUUGCUUUGGUAGGAUCUAUCUAAAUGUAAGGUUAUUUUGAUGGUUAAUAUUGAAUGUCAACUUGAUUGAAGGAUGCAAAGUAUUGUUCCUGGAUGUGUCUGUGAGGGUGUUACUGAAGGAGAUUAACAUUUGAGUCGGUGAACUGGGAGAGGCAGACCCACCCUCAGUCUGGGUGGGCACCAUCUAAUCAGCUGCUAGGGCUGCUACAAUAAAAGCAGGCAGAAGAACAUGAAGGACUAGACCAGUUGAUUCUUCCGGCCUCCAUCUUUCUCCCAUGCUGGUUGCUUCCUGCCCUUGAGUAUUAAACUCCAAGUUCUUCACCUUUGGGACUCUUGGACAUUUGACCACACACUGAAGGCUGCACUGUCGGCUUCCCUACUUUUGAGGUUUUGGGACUUGGACCGGCUUUCUUGCUUCUUUGCUUGCAGACAGCCUAUUGUAAGACUUCACCCUGUGAUCGUGUGAGUCAGAACUCCUUAAUGAACUCUUCCUCAUAUAUACAUCUAUCCUAUUAGUUCUGUGCCUCCAGAGAACCCUGACUAAUACAGUUACACUCCCGGUCCGCAUUUGGGAUUCUGUAUGUAAACCUCAGAAUAAAUUCAACAAAAUUUGUUG